GACGAACGCUGGCGGCGUGCUUAACACAUGCAAGUCGAACGGAAAGGCACUGCUUUUGUGGGGUGCUCGGGUGGCGAACGGGUGAGUAACACGUGAGUAACCUGCUCUAGACUUUGGGAUAACUUCAGGAAACUGGAGCUAAUACCGGAUAGGAGCCCCUGCUGCAUGGUGGGGGUUGGAAAGUUUAGGCGGUUGGGGAUGGACUCGCGGCUUAUCAGUUUGUUGGUGGGGUAGUGGCUUACCCAGGAAUUGACUGGUAGCCGGCCUGAGAGGGUGGCCGGCCACAUUGGGACUGCGAUACGCCCCAGACGCCUACGGGAGACAGCAGUGGGGAAUAUUGCACAAUGGGCGGAAGCCUGAUGCAGCAACGCCGCGUGCGGGAUGACGGCCUUCGGGGUGUGAACCGCUUUCGCCUGUGACGAAGCGUGAGUGACGGUAAUGGGUGAAGAAGCACCGGCUAACUACGUG
rnacentral:rRNA from 1 species